rnacentral:piRNA from 1 species
UGAGAUUGGUAUGGUGUUUGAUAGGGUGA